CUCCUUUGAGUGUCACUCCCUUUGAGGGCCAUCUUCUUUCAAACCACAACCUUGAUUUGUAAAUUUCAUGGCUGGUUCCCACCUCUCUGGCUAUGACUUCCUGGGUGACUGCUUGGAGGAAAAGAGGACCACAAGGAGACUGGUGCACAGAAUUCAUGAGCCUGACUGUGAUGAGAGACAGAGCUGAGGACAGGUGGCCAUGGAGACAAGAAGGAUACAGGAAAGCAAGGAUAGCUGACCGUGGACUUGAGAUCCUCAGCCUCCUGAGUGCUAAGAUGAGAGCUUUCCAGGACAGAGCCAGUGACAGGUCUUCAGGAAAGCCAAUGUUGAAGGAACAGGGUACCAACAUCUGAGCGCUCAAAGGUGGCAUUCCAGAGUCAGAGCUGAACCACACAGAAAGCAGACUUGGAAAUUUCACUUACUGAAGGGUCACCAUCAUCUUUUUCUUCAUGGACUGAAUUAUUUCAAGGAUCUUCAUAUCUGUUG
rnacentral:lncRNA from 1 species